rnacentral:lncRNA from 1 species
CAGAGCCAAGGCAGAAAGCCAAGUUUCAUUUACCUACUCAACACAUAUUAAUCAAGCUCUAUCCUGGGUUCCGCUGUCAACUUACACUAACAACGGAGAAGACAGCUUUCAGCAGACUUGAGUUUGAGAAUAAGAGACAUGGGGUUGCUGUCUAUGAUGCACAGAAUGCUCACCCAGCAAGUAACUAUUUUAGCAGCAACUUGCUUUAUGGUCAUGGAGUGGGGCAAUCAGAAGGAAGUGCCCUCUUUUUUUUGGACGGAGGUACAACAGUGUGGACCCUCACACGAGCAAGCCCAGAAGCGUGUGUGUCCAACAUCUUAACCUUUGAACGUGGGAGGAACACACGGAGCUCACUAAAACUGCAUGCAUGCUUCUGCGGUCUGCAGUGCUAAUAAACAUCUGGAAUCCAGUGGCCAUCACUCUGAGCACCUCUUGGAAUUGCAGAGGCCAAAGUUAACUUGUAUUAAUCUCAUGAUGUUUCAAUAAAUUUAGUAUUAAAUAUUAAUACAAA